UGGGAUAACUCCGGGAAACCGGGGCUAAUACCGGAUGGUUGUUUGAACCGCAUGGUUCAAACAUAAAAGGUGGCUUCGGCUACCACUUACAGAUGGACCCGCGGCGCAUUAGCUAGUUGGUGAGGUAACGGCUCACCAAGGCAACGAUGCGUAGCCGACCUGAGAGGGUGAUCGGCCACACUGGGACUGAGACACGGCCCAGACUCCUACGGGAGGCAGCAGUAGGGAAUCUUCCGCAAUGGACGAAAGUCUGACGGAGCAACGCCGCGUGAGUGAUGAAGGUUUUCGGAUCGUAAAGCUCUGUUGUUAGGGAAGAACAAGUACCGUUCGAAUAGGGCGGUACCUUGACGGUACCUAACCAGAAAGCCACGGCUAACUACGUGCCAGCAGCCGCGGUAAUACGUAAGGUGGCAAGGCGUUGUCCGGAAUUAUUGGGCGUAAAGGGCUCGCAGGCGGUUUCUUAAAGUCUGAUGUGAAAGCCCCCGGGCUCAACCGGGGAGGGUCAUUGGAAACUGGGGAACUUGAGUGCAGAAGAGGAGAGUGGAAUUCCACGUGUAGCGGUGAAAUGCGUAGAGAUGUGGAGGAACACCAGUGGCGAAGGCGACUCUCUGGUCUGUAACUGACGCUGAGGAGCGAAAGCGUGGGGAGCGAACAGGAUUAGAUACCCUGGUAGUCCACGCCGUAAACGAUGAGUGCUAAGUUGUUAGGGGGUUUCCGCCCCUUAGUGCUGCAGCUAACGCAUUAAGCACUCCGCCUGGGGAGUACGGUCGCAAGACUGAAACUCAAAGGAAUUGACGGGGGCCCGCACAAGCGGUGGAGCAUGUGGUUUAAUUCGAAGCAACGCGAAGAACCUUACCAGGUCUUGACAUCCUCUGACAAUCCUAGAGAUAGGACGUCCCCUUCGGGGGCAGAGUGACAGGUGGUGCAUGGUUGUCGUCAGCUCGUGUCGUGAGAUGUUGGGUUAAGUCCCGCAACGAGCGCAACCCUUGAUCUUAGUUGCCAGCAUUCAGUUGGGCACUCUAAGGUGACUGCCGGUGACAAACCGGAGGAAGGUGGGGAUGACGUCAAAUCAUCAUGCCCCUUAUGACCUGGGCUACACACGUGCUACAAUGGACAGAACAAAAGGGCAGCGAAACCGCGAGGUUAAGCCAAUCCCACAAAUCUGUUCUCAGUUCGGAUCGCAGUCUGCAACUCGACUGCGUGAAGCUGGAAUCGCUAGUAAUCGCGGAUCAGCAUGCCGCGGUGAAUACGUUCCCCGGGCCUUGUACACACCGCCCGUCACACCACGAGAGUUUGUACACCCGAAGUCGUGAGUACCUUUUAGAGCCAGCGCGAGUGGACA
rnacentral:rRNA from 1 species